rnacentral:rRNA from 1 species
AUUGAACGCUGGCGGCAGGCCUAACACAUGCAAGUAGAACGAGUGGCGGACGGGUGAGUAAUGUCUGGGAAACUGCCUGAUGGAGGGGGAUAACUACUGGAAACGGUAGCUAAUACCGCAUACCAUCGGAUGUGCCCAGAGGGGAUUAGCUAGUAGGGGGGGUAAAGGCUCACCUAGGCGACGAUCCCUAGCUGGUCUGGUAGGAUGACCAGCCUCACUGGAACUGAGACAAGGUCCAGAUGCCUACGGGAGGCAGCAGUGGGGAAGAUUGCACAAAGGGCGCAAGCCUGAGGCAGCCAUGCCGCGUGUAUGAAGAAGGCCUUCGUGUUGUAAAGUACUUUCAGCGGGGAGGCGUUACCCGCAGAAGAAGCACCGGCUAACUCCGUGACAGCAGCCGCGGUAAUUC